UACGGAGGGUGCAAGCGUUAUCCGGAUUUACUGGGCGUAAAGGGCGCGUAGGCGGACAGUUUAGUCAGAGGUGAAAGCCCAGGGCUCAACCUUGGAACUGCCUUUGAUACUGACUGUCUUGAGUUCGGGAGAGGUGAGUGGAAUGCCGAGUGUAGAGGUGAAAUUCGUAGAUAUUCGGCGGAACACCAGUGGCGAAGGCGACUCACUGGCCCGAUACUGACGCUGAGGCGCGAAAGCGUGGGGAGCAAACAGG
rnacentral:rRNA from 1 species